rnacentral:rRNA from 1 species
UAGGGAAUCUUCGGCAAUGGACGAAAGUCUGACCGAGCAACGCCGCGUGAGUGAAGAAGGUUUUCGGAUCGUAAAACUCUGUUGGUAGAGAAGAACGUUGGUGAGAGUGGAAAGCUCAUCAAGUGACGGUAACUACCCAGAAAGGGACGGCUAACUACGUGCCAGCAGCCGCGGUAAUACGUAGGUCCCGAGCGUUGUCCGGAUUUAUUGGACGUAAAGCGAGCGCAGGUGGUUUAUUAAGUCUGGUGUAAAAGGCAGUGGCUCAACCAUUGUAUGCAUUGGAAACUGGUAGACUUGAGUGCAGGAGAGGAGAGUGGAAUUCCAUGUGUAGCGGUGAAAUGCGUAGAUAUAUGGAGGAACACCGGUGGCGAAAGCGGCUCUCUGGCCUGUAACUGACACUGAGGCUCGAAAGCGUGGGGAGCAAACAGGAUUAGAUACCCUGGUAGUCCACGCCGUAAACGAUGAGUGCUAGAUGUAGGGAGCUAUAAGUUCUCUGUAUCGCAGCUAACGCAAUAAGCACUCCGCCUGGGGAGUACGACCGCAAGGU